rnacentral:pre_miRNA from 1 species
CGGGGGAGGCCGGAUCCUGGGCUGUGUCCCGGCGCCCUGUGCUCAGGCCUGCGCUGUUGGAUUCGCGCUCCCGGGCCGCGCAACCCCCU